rnacentral:rRNA from 1 species
UGGGGAAUAUUGCGCAAUGGGGGAAACCCUGACGCAGCAACGCCGCGUGAGUGAUGAAGGCCUUCGGGUUGUAAAGCUCUUUCGGCUGGGAAGAAGGGUGUGGGAGUUAAUAAGUCUCACAUUUGAUGGUACCAGAGUAAGAAGCACCGGCUAACUUCGUGCCAGCAGCCGCGGUAAUACGAAGGGUGCAAGCGUUGUUCGGAAUUACUGGGCGUAAAGGGUUCGUAGGCGGGAAGACAAGUCAAGUGUGAAAUCCCCAGGCUCAACCUGGGACGUGCAUUUGAGACUGUUUUUCUUGAGUUUUAGAGAGGGUGGUGGAAUUGCUGGUGUAGGAGUGACAUCCGUAGAGAUCAGCAGGAACACCGGAGGCGAAGGCGACCACCUGGCUAAAUACUGACGCUGAGGAACGAAAGCGUGGGGAGCAAACAGG